rnacentral:rRNA from 1 species
UACGUAGGGGGCAAGCGUUGUCCGGAAUUAUUGGGCGUAAAGAGCGUGUAGGCGGUCCGGUAAGUCAGCUGUGAAAGUCAAGGGCUCAACCCUUGAAUGCCGGUUGAUACUGUCGGGCUAGAGUCCGGAAGAGGCGAGUGGAAUUCCCGGUGUAGCGGUGAAAUGCGCAGAUAUCGGGAGGAACACCAAUGGCGAAGGCAGCUCGCUGGGACGGUACUGACGCUGAGACGCGAAAGCGUCGGGGAGCAAACAGG